GCUAAGGUGGCAGAGCCCGGUAAAUUGCAAAAGGCCUAAGCCCUUUCACCCAGGGGUUCAAAUCCCCUCCUUCAGCU
rnacentral:tRNA from 1 species